GAGGGGAUAGCUCAAGCGGUAGAGCACAUGCUUAGCAUACACAAUGUCCUGGGUUCAAUUCCCAGUACCUCCU
rfam:Camelus ferus unplaced genomic scaffold scaffold386, whole genome shotgun sequence.